rnacentral:piRNA from 1 species
UGUCAAUAUGUGUAUAUGUAUAGUGAGC